rnacentral:lncRNA from 7 species
GGCACACUUUGGCAAAGUUGCAGUGGCCUGUUUGCUUAGGCACUGAAGUGGAUGACCCAAGUUAGGAUGACAACUUGCAGAGAACGCGGAUGAGACCUUCAGUUUGUGCCCACACUCAUUUGCAGCAACCCUAACAGAGAUUGCGAAGAUUUUCAAAGUGGGGCACCUCGAUUUCUCGAAUCUGUGGUGUGGCGAAUAUCCGUGUUCCUCCUGCUUAACUAGCCUGUUUGAAGGCACAGUUCAUUCUCGAGCAAUUCGUCACCUCCUGGGGGUCUUCUCUUCCCGUCUACAGGAGAGUGUGACUUCAGAAAGAACUUCGGAUUGGCCAAGGCAGGUCUGAUUCUAUUUAUUCUAAAGACAGAGUUGGAGAUGGGCUACCAUUGGUGUUGAUUGAGAUGACAAGCAGUCACCUGAGCCCAUACAGCUGUGGGAGAAAGUGCUUGCUGCCAAGCUUGAUGACCUAAAUUGAAUACCUGGAACCUACACGACAGAAAGAGAGAGCUGACUGCUGAAAGAUGUCCUCAGAUCUUCACAUGUGCACAGUGGCACCUAUCCAACCAUGCACAUAGUAUAUUAAAAAUUAUUUUUUAAAAAA